AGCGAACGCUGGCGGCAGGCCUAACACAUGCAAGUCGAACGGAUCCUCCGGGAUUAGUGGCGGACGGGUGAGUAACACGUGGGAACGUGCCCUUUGGUUCGGAACAACUCAGGGCAACUUAAGCUAAUACCGGAUGUGCCCUUAGGGGGAAAGAUUUAUCGCCAUUGGAGCGGCCCGCGUCUGAUUAGCUAGUUGGUGAGGUAACGGCCCGCCAAGGCGACGAUCAGUAGCUGGUCUGAGAGGAUGAUCAGCGACACUGGGACUGAGACACGGCCCAGACUCCUACGGGAGGCAGCAGUGGGGAAUCUUGCGCAAUGGGCGAAAGCCUGACGCAGCCAUGCCGCGUGAAUGAUGAAGGUCUUAGGAUUGUAAAAUUCUUUCAGCGGGGACGAUAAUGACGGUACCCGCAGAAGAAGCUCCGGCUAACUUCGUG
rnacentral:rRNA from 1 species